GGCAGGGUGGCAUGGUGUUUUGAGCUUUGGACUGCAACUCUGAAGACCAGGAUUCAAAUCCCUGCUUAGCCA